GUUGCUAUCAAGAUAAAGACCCCAAAGAUUUGUCAAGUUUUCUAUGGAAGUUGGGAUUGUACCAGUGAGACUAUUUAUUGAAAAAUCAAUCUGAGUGACAAAUUUCAACAUUCCAAGUUCUUGAGGUAUGGAGCCUGAAAGUUGGUUCUUUUGAACGUAGAGAAUUUGCAAUGUUGUCAAACUCCCUAUAGAAGCUGGUAUUGUACCAGUGAGAGGAUUGUGUGAUAAAUCAAUGUAAGUGAGAGAAUUCAACAUCCCAAUUUCUUGGGGAAUGAAACCAGAGAUUUCAUUGACAGAAAAAUCAAGGAUUUUGAGCUUGUAUAGAUUGCCAAUAUGGGCAGGAAUG
rnacentral:misc_RNA from 1 species